UUAGGUUGGCACAAAAGUAAUUGUGGUUUUUGCCAUUGAAGUAAUGACGAAAACCACAACUACUUUGCACCAACCUAAUAAA
ensembl:miRNA